UAGAGUUUGAUCCUGGCUCAGGAUGAACGCUGGCGGUAUGCCUAACACAUGCAAGUCGUACGAGAGUUUUUAACUCUAGUGGCGGACGGGUGAGUAACACGUGAGAAUUUGCCUUUAGGAGGGGGAUAACAAUUGGAAACGAAUGCUAAUACCCCAUAUGCUUUCGAGUGAAAUGGAUUUAUAUUUAUCCGCCUAGAGAGAAGCUCGCGGCUGAUUAGCUUGUUGGUAAGGUAAGAGCUUACCAAGGCGACGAUCAGUAUCUGGUUUGAGAGGACGAUCAGACACACUGGAACUGAGACACGGUCCAGACUCCUACGGGAGGCAGCAGUGGGGAAUUUUCCGCAAUGGGCGAAAGCCUGACGGAGCAAUACCGCGUGAGGGAAGACUGCCUAUGGGUUGUAAACCUCUUUUUUCAGGGAGGAAUCAAUGACGUGUACCUGAAGAAUAAGCAUCGGCUAACUCCGUGCCAGCAGCCGCGGUAAGACGGAGGAUGCAAGUGUUAUCCGGAAUCACUGGGCGUAAAGCGUCUGUAGGUGGUUUAAUAAGUCAACUGUUAAAUCUUGAGGCUCAACUUCAAAAUCGCAGUCGAAACUAUUAGACUAGAGUAUAGUAGAGGUAAAGGGAAUUUCCAGUGGAGCGGUGAAAUGCGUAGAUAUUGGAAAGAACACCGAUGGCGAAAGCACUUUACUGGGCUAUUACUAACACUCAGA
rnacentral:rRNA from 1 species